CCGGCACGGUGAGUAACACGUAUGCAAUCCACCUGUAACAGGGGGAUAACCCGGAGAAAUCCGGACUAAUACCCCAUAAUAUGGGCGCUCCGCAUGGAGAGCCCAUUAAAGAGAGCAAUUUUGGUUACAGACGAGCAUGCGCUCCAUUAGCCAGUUGGCGGGGUAACGGCCCACCAAAGCGACGAUGGAUAGGGGUUCUGAGAGGAAGGUCCCCCACAUUGGAACUGAGACACGGUCCAA
rnacentral:rRNA from 1 species